GCCAGCGUGGUGCAGUGGUUUGAGUGUUGGACUAGGACUCUGAAGACCAGGGUUCAAUUCCUGAGUCGUCC
rnacentral:tRNA from 1 species